CCCGCCCUGAGCGCUUCCUCCGAAGCACUAUAGCCCAGCCGUGUCUGCAAGCCGAGCCGCGGAACGUGCCCCGACCGAACAGCCCUCCAGAGCCGACCCGAACUCGGGCCGGCAAAGGCAGCCUCUGGGCGGAUGAACCGUUCCGGGCCAGGGAGGCCCGGGAUCCCCGCUCCGCGGUUCACCCGACGGGCUCAGGGCGGUCGGGGCACGCGCCCGGGACCACGUUUCUCCUCCUCUGCUGCUGCGUGACUGCCCCGCACCUGGAGCCCUGCUCGGGGCGGUCUGCACCCUCCAAACACCCCUGCGAGUGCAGGAGGGAUGCCGAGGCAGGAUUUGUCUUGCAGAAUAGCCAGUGCCCCAGACCUGAAAACAGAAGAGGUGCACGUGUCCAAUCAAGAAUACUUGGAAUACUUAAUUGGACACAUAAUAUAGAUGAACUUCAGGCCAUGGUUGCAUAGACUUGCUGCCUCCUAUCUUACCGACCUGGAUCUGCACAGCUGUUUUCUGAAUUUUGCUGCCACUCUCAUGAUUCAGCUGAAGCUAUGUUCUGAACAUGGCCCGUGACCUGUCUGCCAAAUUCGAGACGCUUUUCUUCUCCAUCUUGGUGUUCUGCCCCUGUGAUGCUCUUGGAAACUCUCCUCUAUAGAUAUCACUGUUCUGGUUCUUCUUAUUUUUGGUGGCUCCUCAUCUAUUUGUUUUUGGCUCCUUUUCUUUU
rnacentral:lncRNA from 1 species